rnacentral:rRNA from 1 species
AUUGAACGCUGGCGGCAGGCCUAACACAUGCAAGUCGAACGAGUGGCGGACGGGUGAGUAAUGUCUGGGAAACUGCCCGAUGGAGGGGGAUAACUACUGGACACGGUAGCUAAUACCGCAUACCAUCGGAUGUGCCCAGCUGGGAUUAGCUUGUUGGUUGGGUAACGGCUCACCAAGGCGACGAUCCCUAGCUGGUCUGAGAGGAUGACCAGCCACACUAGAACUGAGACAAGGUGCAGAGUCUUAUGGUAGGUAGCAGUGGGGAAUAUUGGACAAGGGGCGCAAGCCUGAGACAGCCAUGCAGAGGGGAUGAAGAAGACCUGCGGUGUGUAAAGUACUUUCAGCGGGGAGGCGUUACACGCAGAAGAAGCACCGGCUAAUUCCGGGCCAGCAGCCGCGGGAAUAC